ensembl:lncRNA
CUGGUUUGUGGCUUGAUCAAUGAAGGGCAGAUGCACUGUCCCCGUGUGAGAAGAUGGUACAGCCCAUCUCUGUAAGACGCGGGAGUAAAGUAAACUGAGUAAAUUCGAUAACUUGUAUGUACGAACCAGCGCGACAUGACUGGAUUAUUAAGGGGAAUGUAAACGAAAGGGCCGAUCAGGCGAGGACGUCAGCACCUCGUUUCGAGACCAUUCGGACAAAGUCAACGCGUGCAAAGGAUCGGCCAAUGGAUUUUCUCUGGCGAAAACGAAGGUGUGAGCUGCGUAUGCGUGGCUGAGCUCCAGAGCAGGUGCCAGAGUCGUCUCAGUCCACUGUCCACAAUGAGCUCCGCGGAUCAGCCCCAGAAACGCACCACCACUUACCUCAUCUCCCUUACCCUGGUCAAGGUCGAGGCCGUGGGAGAGGAGGGCCAGGAGGGGGAGCCCAGGGAGCAUGUGCUGGACCAACAGGUCCAAGACCAGGAGGACCAGGACUAUGACCAAGACCUGAAGAAAGAUCACGCCCAGGAUCAUGAGGACCGUGAAGUGGGUCCCGAGGAGAGAAAGGAGGUGGAGUGGACAGAUGAGAGUAAGCAAGUAACUGAAGAAGUGACAGAGCAGAAGACAGUGGACAAACAUGAAGCGGUGCAAAGUGUCCCAGAGAGAGAGGAGGCCAGUAUCCCGGAGAAAAAAGAGCGCUGUGUACCGGACAGAGAGGAGCGCAGUGUGAAAACUCCGGUGGAGAAGCCCAGCCCUCGACUGGAGGAGGUGCCACAGCUGCAGCAAGUCCAGAAAGUGCAGACUCCAGUGCAGGCUCCCCGACACGGCAGCCCGGCCGAACUCACCAAGGGACGCAUCGAGAAGCGCGAGAGUCCAGUCCAACAGAAGGAGUUUCCUGGGUUUCCUAAAAGUAAAGACUCCUCGUUCAUGCAUGCUCCUGUCCGCCAGAUGGUCAAGGUCUAUGGCAGCGCGUCAGAUGCCCUUCCGGUCCACCGAGAAGGCCCGCGAUCCGACACAAUCCGCCCCAAAACUGAACUCUACCGAGAACCGCCCAUGCUCUACCUCAAGGGGGAGAAUGGAGCGGAUCUCAACAGUCGGACGAGAUCCAGCCUUCCUUUCUCCAUCUCGUCCCAGGUUAGCCCACGCCCGGAGGUCCUUAUGCGUCCCCAGGGUGGUGCUAACUCGGCCUGGAGGGACCUACGGGACCCGAACCAGUAUCAUUCCGCAAAGACUUUGGACAGACGGGACAACCGCAUGGGCGACCAGUCUCCGUUGAUGGCAGCUACAACCCUAGGGCCUUAUAGAGCAUCCUGGGCAGACAGCGAAGGGAGGGGAACGCUGAUUCGUCCCGGGGCGCCAAUGAGUGGGGGGUAUUCGGGGAUAAUGGCCAGAGAAAGCCCACAGGGAGACAGGUAUAAGGCCGUGUCAGUGGUGAUUCCCUCCUCUGAUGCAACAACCAGGGGGCAAGGAAGGGAACGAGUCGCACCCUGGAUAACAGUGAUCUGCCCAUGUUUUCGGAGGAGGUGAAGAGAGGGAAGAUGGGACGGUCCAGAGAGCACCGCCCCGGGACAGGAAGAUGCUCAAGUUCAUUAGCGGGAUAUUUACAAAGAGUACGCCCACCGCUGCACCGCCGCUCUAUCCACCGGUAGAGAGGGGAUCCAGUGAAGAGGAGGG